AUGGGACUGAGGAAGGUAUUAUCCCCACUGUUCCCCAUCCUCACUCAGCAGCCAAAGGGUGGAAGAGACAUGGGCAUAGACUGGAGCAGGAGAAAUCCUUCUGCAUCAGCUCAGGUCUGCCAGCCUGCAGAGUGGCCCCAAGUUAAAGCCACAGCAGCUGACUCAUCUAACAUCCCAGUUCUUUCCUUUUUUUUUUUUAAUAUUUUUAAUUUAUUUUUACAUAUUUCAUGCUUGACCACAGCAAGCUAUCUUAAUUUCUCUUCUCCCUCUCUCUCCCCCUUCUCGUUUAAUUUCCUGUGUGUUACGCAUCCUGACUUGCCUCCAAGUGAUUUUGAUUCCUCUCUUCCUCAGAUGUGUUGGAAACAGAGAACAAAGCAUGGCCACGGAUCUGCAAAUGGGCAUCUUCUCAUCUGGAUCCUGAGUGUUCUCUUGGCUGGGAGUACAUGGGAACCAAGCAGUCUGGGAAAGGUCCUUUGGCACAGCGUGAAGGCUCUCCGGUGACCAAGGAAACAGGGCAGGACUUCUCAUCCUGAUGGGAGGCAAAAGCUUUUGCUGCCCACAGGUCCAUGUAUCCAUCUGGCGUGUAGGGACUACAAUCCAUGACACUGGUGGUUUUCUCGAAGGGCUCACACACACCGUCUCCAUCAUGCACAUAGCACAGGCUUGGCUCCCCUAAAGGAGAUGAAGAAUGCCCUGCUUACAAACUGGGAUCCAGCCACGUAUAUCUCCUAUCUAAGUGGCAUGCUGGCCACUUGGCCUUGGGAUUUCCCAUCUCAAGGACCUGGCAUGCCUUGGAGAUGACUCCAGCUGCAGACCAACGUUUUACUGUGAUGUGGUGCUAUGGACUGCUAUGAGGGAGGUGUGAGUAGUCCACUGGUUUGAUUCCUGCUGAGUAAGGUUGCCUAAAUCCAUUUGGACUUACCAACACAGUUGAAACCUUUUUCCUUUUUACACUUCCUGGAACAGCCGUCUCCGUCCAGGAAGUCCCCAUCAUCGCAUUCUUCUUCCAGGCUCCUAUAAGGAUCACAGCAGGAUUUUUUCACACCUUUGACUCACGUUUCCUAGGUGCUUCUGCCUAAUAACAAGUGAGGACUCAAUAUCUUGGGUCCAUUUCCACAGAGGGACAACAUGUGAAAUAAAGGAAGGAAGACACCACA
rnacentral:lncRNA from 1 species